rnacentral:rRNA from 1 species
GUGCCAGCCGCCGCGGUAAUACGGAGGAUGCGAGCGUUAUCCGGAAUUAUUGGGUUUAAAGGGUGCGUAGGCUGACAAGUAAGUCAGUGGUGAAAUACCCCGGCUUAACCGGGGGGUUGCCAUUGAAACUGUUUGUCUUGAGUGUAAUCGAAGUGGGCGGAAUGAGGUGUGUAGCGGUGAAAUGCAUAGAUAUACCUCAGAACACCGAUAGCGCAGGCAGCUCACUAGCUUACAACUGACGCUGAGGCACGAAAGCGUGGGUAUCAAACAGGAUUAGAUACCCCGGUAGUC